rnacentral:tRNA from 1 species
AAUAAAGUGCCUGAUUAAAGGAUUACCUUGAUAGGGUAAAUAAUGUGCCCCCACCACCUUUAUUA